rnacentral:rRNA from 1 species
AGUGAACGCUGGCGGUGGGCCUAACACAUGCAAGUCGAACGGCAGCACAGUAAGAGCUUGCUCUUACGGGUGGCGAGUGGCGGACGGGUGAGGAAUACAUCGGAAUCUACUUUUUCGUGGGGGAUAACGUAGGGAAACUUACGCUAAUACCGCAUACGACCUACGGGUGAAAGCAGGGGAUCUUCGGACCUUGCGCGAUUGAAUGAGCCGAUGUCGGAUUAGCUAGUUGGCGGGGUAAAGGCCCACCAAGGCGACGAUCCGUAGCUGGUCUGAGAGGAUGAUCAGCCACACUGGAACUGAGACACGGUCCAGACUCCUACGGGAGGCAGCAGUGGGGAAUAUUGGACAAUGGGCGCAAGCCUGAACCAGCCAUACCGCGUGGGUGAAGAAGGCCUUCGGGUUGUAAAGCCCUUUUGUUGGGAAAGAAAAGCAGCAGGUUAAUACCCCGCUGUUCUGACGGUACCCAAAGAAUAAGCACCGGCUAACUUCGUG